GUGCUCACUACAACUGCACAUAUAUUCAAAUUAGAAUGGUACAAAGAAGAUAGCACGGCCCUUAUGCAAUGACAACAGCCAAUAAAUUGAGAAUAGCACUAUUUUG